ACUGUGGAGGUAAAUAAUCUUAUCAGGUAAAAUGUAUACUUUACAGAUGCUGUAGCUACUAUUACCAUUGUUAUUGUUAUUAUGAGACCCAAUGAAAGACAACCAGUGCAUUAUUACUAUAAGAGAAAAGUCAUCUGAGUUCAUUGCCCUCUUUUUUUGGUAUUAUUAUCCCCAGGCCAUUGUUCUCCUGUGCCUUGUGAGUGGUUUGAUAAGUCAUAAACAAACAAAUAAUAAUAAUAAUAAUAAAAGAAUUUCUCAUUAAACCCCAACCACAUGUCAUAGGAAGGAUGUUUUUGCUUAAUUCGAUUAGGGUUUUUUCGUUUACGGGUUAUUUUCCUGAGGAUGUACAUAAACUCAGCUAAACUUUUUCCUUUAAUAAUCAUCAUUCCAACAAAAGAUCAUUAUUUCUCUCUACAUCAGUCUACUUUUGAACUCUACACCACCACUUAAUUCGGUUAUUCCUGGUUUGUUUGAGAGGGUUUGAGCUGACACAAGACUUCUCUCUCAUGUGAUGUUCGCUCCAGCCAUUAAAUCCCUAUGAUUCUGUUCGUGCAAUAGAAAUUCUGGCAAUUUAGGAUUUUUUGUGUUGCUUAAUGUUUUAUCUCUGCAUCUAACACAUAUCUUUAUAUCACACAUCCCUAGAGCAAUUAAUGCCCAGUAGUUAUGUACAAAUUCCAACCAGAUCUUAUCUGAUUCUGAGAACUCCUGAUUCGGUGUCAUCAAUAAUGACACUUAUUUAUUUAUUUUGUGUGUGUAUGUAAGACUCUGAAUAAAACGUGACUUUGAAGAAUGUGGGCCCAUGUCAUUGACAUUUAUUCCAGUGGAUUCAGGAAGACAUUCAAAAUCGCCGCUAUUUCAGACCUACUGCGCAUGCCUACGCACAAGAUGUACUUCAACUUUGUCUCGAUGUGUAUUGUGAAGGUAAAAAGUGAUUCUGAGUCAGUUGAACUGACUCAGUUCAAAUUUUCAGUUCAGAUUCCACACCAAUGACAGAGACGUUGCCUCUGGGCCAAAGCGGCACUCAUCGUGAAAAAUGGUUAAUAAAUAAAACAAACAUUUAUUCCCUUUUUUCCCUUUUCUAACACAACAUAGACUUGGGGUUCAUGGUGUUUGUUUGUUGAAUUUACAGUGAUCAUAUGGGACAUCUAGUGGUGAAUCUGCGGGUUAGAAACAAAUGUCAAAACGCAUAUUUCCGUCGAGUGAUUUGAUUGGUCAACUCUAACCGCGAAAAGCCGGUAGAUUCAUCAUGGACAUUAUGCCCGCGAAAAAAAAAAGAACGGUGAGCUCAAAACCUUUUAACUAGAAAAAGCUAACGCAACACGGAUAUAUCAACUGCAGUAAUGUAUAUAGAACACCAGAAAUCAAAUUCGAUAAACGUUUAAAUGAAGAAGUUGUUGAAUUAAUUAUUAAGAUAUAAUUGACGUUUUUAUUCAGACAUUCAGCUGCCUGUAAAGAAGAUCGUGCUCGGACGCUUUUGAAAAUACAUAACGUCGAAUGGAUAUGGAUAAAGAACACCAUUGCCCGGGUCUGUGUGAAUCGUCAUAAGGUCCACAGCGCCAUCUACUGGGCAGCAGUCCUUUCCAGAUUUUCCCUCCUCUCUGCCUGGCUCCUUAGUGAUGCGUGCAGGACUCAGCGUGGGGUGUUUAGGUAAACAGGAAGUGGCAGACGACCAGGUACUGGAUGGCAGCUCAACAGGAUGUCGACAGCAG